ACAAACAAUGUGCAGCAGCAACAGCAGCAGCAGAAGUAGUGUGGCUCAGCUCCUAACUUGGCAGAUCCCAGUGAGACAGAACAAGCUCUACCAGGGAGGAACGGGACCGCACAGGACAUCCAACAUCUAGGCUGGCUAUUGGUAUUCUGCAGCAGCUGCCUCACAGAGCCUGGAGAGCUCCAGCAAGGAUGGGCCGGAACUCCAGCUGCUGUGGAACCAGCUCUUGGAUUUCUUUAUCCAUAUGAAGACCUGCAAAGGGCCUGAUAUUUUUUUUUUCUCCUACGUGCCGGCUAACAAGUUAGUCUGCCAGUGGUCUCCUAGGGUUGUAUAGUCUUCCAAUGUCUGCAAUUCCCUUAAUGGCCAUUAGAGUCGCGGACGAGAAAAAAACUCUUCAGAAAACGGUGUGAAUAAUGGGAGCAAGAGAAGAAGUUCCUGGUUAUAGCCCACUCAUAUAUUUUUGAAAUAUAGGUCAGAUCUAGAGGAAAUGAAAGAAACUUCCUGUUGAAUUUUCAUUUAUAGUAUGUGUCUGGAAAUCUCUAAAUGUAAUUUCUUGGUGUAAAAUAAACUGCAGAAAUCUGGGA
rnacentral:lncRNA from 1 species